UACCCGCAGCACAAGUGGUGGUCAUUAUUAUUGGGCCUAAAGCGUCCGUAGCUGGCGUGUUAGAUGCCUGGGUAAAUCGAUGCGCUCAACGUAUCGAAUUCCGGGUAGACCGGCACGCUCGAGACCGGGAGAGGCAUGGGGUACUCGGGGGGUAGGGGUAAAAUCCUGUAAUCCUCCGGGGACGGCCAGUGGCGAAGGCGCCAUGCUAGAACGGCUCUGACAGUGAGGGACGAAGCCCUGGGGCGCAAACCGG
rnacentral:rRNA from 1 species